rnacentral:misc_RNA from 1 species
UCCGAGUUGUCCCCGGCAGUCCUCUUAGAGUCCCCGGCAUUACCCGCUGGCAACUAAGAGCAGGGGUUGCGCUCGUUGCGGCACUUAAGCCAACACCUCACGGCACGAGCUGACGACAGCCAUGCAGCACCUGUGCUAGCCCCUUACGGACACGGGCUUUCACCCGCUUUAACUAGCAUGUCAAACCCAGGUAAGGUGGGGAUGACGUAUGAGAGUACGUCC